GCGGCUGCACGACAGGAGCAUUCAUCAAUCACUCUCUGCAUUUGUGUGAGCCCUCCCUCCUCCUCUGUCCAUCUGCAUACCGCAGCUCUGCCCCUGAGGAGGGGGGUAGGGAGGGACAUCUCUCUGAUUCCCCCCCACCCACACCGCCUUGUGAGUGAGCCAGACCCUCUCCUCACCCCCCCUAGCCCUGGGUGAUUGGGUCAUUCUGGUCCUGGCCUCACAUUUCAGGGGGUUUGGGUGUGAAAUUCUUUUGGACUCAGCGAGGAAGGAUUUCCGUUUCGGAGCCUGGGACCUCCCCAGUGCCUGAAAUCCAUGUCAAUACAGGCAUCGUACCUUCUGAGUUUCACAGUUAUAAGCGAGAAAUUCCACGUUCAUCUACAAGAAUCAACGAGGGAAAGUGUUCUCGACAUAGCACUGAAAGGUCAAAGCCAAACACUGCUUCAAGGAAACGGUAUAAUUGCCAGGAAUUGUCCACCAUGGUACAGCGAAAAUUCAUCAGUAAUAAAAAGGAGAAAAUACUGGAGAAACUCAGCAGGUCUGGCACCAUCUGCAGAGAGAGAAACAGAGUUGACGUUUGAACAAAAUCAAUCAAUGUUUACCAUUGCCAAGUGACGUCUGAAAAAUCUGGCAGACCAUUAAUCGUUGUUCUUGUUACUUUGAUAGAGGGUGGUUGUCACUGAGCACUGAUGAAGAUUACCAGUUGUACAAAUCGGUACAUUUACUUCAAUGAAAGCCAUCAGCGCAAAGUUUGACCAGAUGUUUGUUUAGUGUGGAGACCCUCAAACAGUGAGGAGUGACAAUGGGCCCCCGUUCAGCAACUAGUUCAGUACACUUUAUGAACCAUUUGGAUUUCACUCGUCAAAUUAAAUCACAUCUUAUUGGCAAAGAGCUCAUAGAGAAGUCAAGAGAAUGAUAUUCGAUAAAAGUAAUACAUACAGCUACAGCUGACAGCAAGGCAUUGAAAUGAAAGCUGCUUUAAUUUCUUCACAAUGUGACACCUCUUUUCAAUCAUCAUUGCCAGUCAGGGCUCACAAAUCAUUACAACACAUCAUUCUUUAAAGCACUGAAAAUACCAAUCAUAAAGAUUUGAUCUGAUUCUAAUACUGGCAUCACAAAUGAAGAUAAUUACACCUUAGAUGAAGAACUUGAGUAAAAUAACAUCACACCUGAUGUUCAACAAAAUCCCAUUCUUGAGAGAAAAUGUUGACCAUAACUAAGUGACAAUGUGAUGGUGCACUCUUUAAGGUGAUGAACAAAUCUUUCAUCCAAUUGUGUAUAACCAGAUACAUUGUACAAGAGUUAGCAUAUGCAAAAAUUAGAAUGGUCAAAUUAUGCCUAAAUUUACCAUUCAUGCUUUGCUGAUAAAUUAUUGGAACAUAUUAUAUCCCUCGUUUACAAAGAAGGGGAGGAAUAUAGUUGAAACUUUAUUGCUGGAACAGCACAGCAGGUCAGGCAGGAUGUGCUGUUCCAGCAAUAAAGUUUCAACUUUGAUCUCCAGCAUCUGCAGACCUCACUUUCUCCUCGAGGAAUAUAGUGUUGUAUUAUAAUUAAUCAGCGACCUGUAUGCUGUGUUCACUUGUAGCUGCCAUACAGACCAAUGCCAGUAGAUGGAGCUGUCAGAAGAACCAGCAGAGAGUAUAGUAGUGACUGUUCUAAUAAAGCAGAA